UGGGCAGCGGAGUGAGGCAGUGGAAUAGAUCGAUGCUUGGUGGCAGAGUCCAAACCAAUAGAGGCGGUGGACGAAUGACGCGAAGGGCGUUGAUAGUGGCUCAGCAGUCGUGGAGAGGUGGCGUUUUGGUCGGCCGAUGGACGAAGAGACAAAGAGUGAAGGUUGGGCGAACUGAAUUUUUUUUAAGGGGGCAGUUGACAAGAAAAAGGAGGGAAACUGUUUGGGAGGAGGUUUAACACCAUGGGGUUUGGUUAUGUUAAUCCUAACCCCCAUUUGGAUGUUUCCAUAAUUCUCGAUUUUUCCCCUCAAACUCUUCCAUUAUGUCUGCAGAUUUGUCUCCUUCGUCAUUUUCUUUCAACCCGUGUUAACCCAUCUCGUUCAAUCUGUGUUCCCAUUCGAUUCCUCCUUCCUCUUCAGUUCCGAUUUCACUUCUUCUUCUUUCUCCCUCUUUCCCUUCGAUUUCGAUUUCGCUUCCUUCUGGUUGUCGUUUGGUCUUCAAUUCGAUUUCGAUUCUGAUUUAUGAGGAGAAGGAGGGCGACUUGGGUCUUCGCGAGCUGAUUGAUGGUGGCUAUUCAUUUAUUUUGUUUUGCAGCUUUGUUAUAAUCAGCUCAGUGGAAGCAUACCUACACAAUUUUCAUCUUUGAAGAAGCUUACUGUUAUUGUUCUCUAAUCUAUAAUCAGUUAAUUGGUGCAAUCCCUGCAAGCUUGGGACAUUUGGACUUGUUAGCGAGAGUAAACUUGAGCUCCAAUCAUCUCUUUGGUUCUGUUCCUUCAAGACUUACUGAUGCACUUUCGCUUGAAGUUCUUGAUGUUUGAAACAAUACCCUCCCUAGCAAUGGUAUCAAUUGAUCUUUAAACUCCCUAGCAAUGGUAUCAAUUGAUCUUUAAACCAUUUUAUCACGAAGAUGUACUUAUUUUUUUGUGUUAUGUUCAUUUUUUCUUUCUUUUACAUGAAGCUAACUAGACAUUGUUUUGCUUUUGUGCUUGAUCUGAUGAAGCUCUGAACAACUUGGGAUUUUCUGGUGUUGGGUUUCCA